GGAGGAGUGGCAGAGUGGUCUAUCGCGCUUGUCUUGAAAACAAGAGUCCCUUCACGGGGACCGUGAGUUCGAAUCUCACCUCCUCCG
rnacentral:tRNA from 1 species